UACGGAGGGCGCAAGCGUUGCUCGGAAUCACUGGGCGUAAAGGGGACGCAGGCGGCCCUGUCAGUCAGAUGUGAAAGCCCUCGGCUCAACCGAGGAAUUGCAUUUGAUACUGCAGGGCUUGAGUACGGUAGAGGGAAGCGGAAUUCCUGGUGUAGCGGUGAAAUGCGUUGAUAUCAGGAGGAACAUCUGUGGCGAAGGCGGCUUCCUGGGCCGAUACUGACGCUGAGGUCCGAAAGCGUCGGGUAGCAAACGGG
rnacentral:rRNA from 1 species